rnacentral:ncRNA from 1 species
ACUUUGAACACACUGUCUCAACGGGUGAGUAAACCUGUAAGGCGCAAGGAAGCUGAUUGGCGGGAUCCCCUUGUGGGUUGCACCCUCGACCGACCCUGAUCUUUUGUGAAGGGUUCGAGUGAGAGCAUACCUGUCGGGACCCGAAACAUGAUGAACUAUGCCUGAGCGGGGCGAAGGCAGAGGAAACUCUGGUGGAGGCCCGCAGUGAUACUAACGUGCAAAUCGUUUGUCUGACUUAGGUAUACGGGCGAAAGACUAAUCGAACCGUCUAGUAGCUGGUUCCCUCCGAAGUUUCCCUCAGGAUAGUUGGAGCCUAUGGGCGAGUUAUAUCGGGUAAAGCCAAUGAUUAGAGGCAUCGGGGGCGCAACGCCCUCGACCUAUUCUCAAACUUUAAAUAGGUAGGGCGGUGUGGCUGCUUUGUUGAGGCACUCCAUGGAAUCGACAGCUCUAAGUGGGCCAUUUUUGGUAAGCAGAACUGGCGAUGCGGGAUGAACCGAAAGUUGGGUUACGGUGCCCAACUACGCGGUAACCUAGACCCCACAAAGGGUGUUGGUCGAUUAAGACAGCAGGACGGUGGUCAUGGAAGUCGAAAUCCACUAAGGAGUGUGUAACAACUCACCUGUCGAAUCAACUAGCCCCGAAAAUGGAUGCUGCUAAAGCGUGCGACCUAUACCCGGCCGUUGAGGCAAGAGCCAAGCCUCAAUGAGUAGGAGGGCGCGGAGGUUCCUAUAAAACCCGGGGUGUGAGCCCGGGCGGAGUGUUCGUCGGUGCAGAUCUUGGUGGUAGUAGAAAAUAUUCAAAUGAAAACUUUGAAGGCCGAAGAGGAUAAAAGUUCCAUGUGAAUGGCACUUGCACAUGGGUUAGUCGAUCCUAAGGGACGAGGGAACCCCGUCUGAAAUUUAAGAUAAAUGUGUAUUUUGUGCCUCAAAUUUAAAAUUGAUAUUUUUAGUGUGUGUAAAUUUAACAAAUAUUGUUUUAGUCCCCCAGAUUCUAUGCAAUAUUGUUUGAUAAUUUUCAUUACAAAAUAAAAAAAAAAUUAGGACUAAAAUAUUUUUUUUUAUAUUACAGGAAUAAAAAUAAAAUUUUUAAAUUCAACUGUUUAGGGUUUAAAAUUUAUCAUAAAUUUUUGGGUU